rnacentral:rRNA from 1 species
UACCGGGGGUGCGAGCGUUAAUCGGAAUUACUGGGCGUAAAGCGUGCGUAGACGGUUAUUUAAGUCGGAUGUGAAAGCCCCGGGCUCAACCUGGGAAUUGCAUUCGAGACUGAAUAGCUAGGGUACGGUAGAGGGAAGUGGAAUUUCCGGUGUAGCGGUGAAAUGCGUAGAUAUCGGAAGGAACAUCAGUGGCGAAAGCGACUUCCUGGACCAGUACCGACGUUCAGGCACGAAAGCGUGGGGAGCAAACAGG